AAUGAACGCUGGCGGCGCGCCUAAUACAUGCAAGUCGAGCGAGAAGACGUAGCAAUACGUUUGUAAAGCGGCGAACGGGUGAGGAAUACAUGGGUAACCUACCCUUGAGUGGGGAGUAACUAGCCGAAGGUUAGCUAAUACGCGUACGCUCCUGGACUUCGGUUCAGGGAGGAAAGCGAUGCCGAGGGUAUCGCGCUCUUGGAUGGGCUCAUGUCCUAUCAGCUUGUUGGNGAGGUAACGGCUCACCAAGGCUUCGACGGGUAGCUGGUCUGAGAGGACGAUCAGCCACACUGGCACUGCGACACGGGCCAGACUCCUACGGGAGGCAGCAGUAAGGAAUAUUGCGCAAUGGGCGAAAGCCUGACGCAGCGACGCCGC
rnacentral:rRNA from 1 species